UACAGAGGUGGCAAGCGUUGUUCGGAAUUACUGGGCGUAAAGGGCGCGUAGGCGGUUCGUUAAGUCCUGUGUGAAAUCCCCCGGCUCAACUGGGGAACUGCACAGGAAACUAGCGGGCUUGAGUUCGGGAGAGGGAAGCGGAAUUCCGGGUGUAGCGGUGAAAUGCGUAGAUAUCCGGGGGAACACCGGUGGCGAAGGCGGCUUCCUGGACCGACACUGACGCUGAGGCGCGAAAGCUAGGGGAGCAAACGGG
rnacentral:rRNA from 1 species